rnacentral:rRNA from 1 species
CGAGGGAGAACCAUUCGAUCCGUAAGGACCGGAUGGGGAAACCGGCGAACGGGUGCGUAACACGUGAGGAACCUGCCCCGAAGACCGGGAUAGCCCGAGGAAACUCGGAUUAAUACCGGAUACCCUCUUUGGACCACAUGGUCUGCUGAGGAAAUGGUCCGCCGCUUCGGGAUGGCCUCGCGGCCUAUCAGCUUGUUGGUGAGGUAACGGCUCACCAAGGCAAAGACGGGUAGCUGGUCUGAGAGGACGAUCAGCCACACUGGGACUGAGACACGGCCCAGACUCCUACGGGAGGCAGCAGCAGGGAAUAUUGCACAAUGGGCGAAAGCCUGAUGCAGCGACACCGCGUGCGGGAUGAAGGCCCUCGGGUUGUAAACCGCUUUCAGGAGGGACGAAACUGACGGUACCUCCAGAAGAAGGCCCGGCCAACUACGUGCCAGCAGCCGCGGUAAUACGUAGGGGCCAAACGUUGUCCGGAUUUAUUGGGCGUAAAGGGCUCGUAGGCGGUUCAAAAAGUCGAUCGUGAAAGCCCGGGGCUCAACCCCGGGACGCCGGUCGAAACUGUUGUGACUAGGGUCCGGUAGAGGUGAGUGGAAUUCUCGGUGUAGCGGUGGAAUGCGCAGAUAUCGAGA